rnacentral:rRNA from 1 species
UACGGAGGGUGCAAGCGUUAUCCGGAUUCACUGGGUUUAAAGGGUGCGUAGGUGGGCAAGUAAGUCAGUGGUGAAAUCUCCGGGCUUAACUCGGAAACUGCCGUUGAUACUAUCUGUCUUGAAUACCGUGGAGAUGAGCGGAAUAUGUCAUGUAGCGGUGAAAUGCUUAGAUAUGACAUAGAACACCAAUUGCGAAGGCAGCUGGCUACACAAAUAUUGACACUGAGGCACGAAAAGCGUGGGGAUCAAACAGG